rnacentral:rRNA from 1 species
GAUGAACGCUGGCGGCGUGCCUAAUACAUGCAAGUCGAGCGAACGGACGAGAAGCUUGCUUCUCUGAUGUUAGCGGCGGACGGGUGAGUAACACGUGGAUAACCUACCUAUAAGGCUGGGAUAACUUCGGGAAACCGGAGCUAAUACCGGAUAAUAUUUUGAACCGCAUGGUUCAAAAGUGAAAGACGGUCUUGCUGUCACUUAUAGAUGGAUCCGCGCUGCAUUAGCUAGUUGGUAAGGUAACGGCUUACCAAGGCAACGAUGCAUAGCCGACCUGAGAGGGUGAUCGGCCACACUGGAACUGAGACACGGUCCAGACUCCUACGGGAGGCAGCAGUAGGGAAUCUUCCGCAAUGGGCGAAAGCCUGACGGAGCAACGCCGCGUGAGUGAUGAAGGUCUUCGGAUCGUAAAACUCUGCUAUUAGGGAAGAACAUAUGUGUAAGUAACUGUGCACAUCUUGACGGUACCUAAUCAGAAAGCCACGGCUAACUACGUG